CAGACUCGGCAAUCAACAACCUUUUAAUUCAAAUUAAAAAUAUCAAUGAGAUCUCCAUAACAAGUUCAUGCAAAAAGGCAUGCAGUUCAAAAGGAAAAAGGCAAAGGCAAUGCAGCCAGGUAUAAGUUCGGAUUGACGAGAUUUUUAUAAUGUUGGAUCUUUCCUCAAAUUAGUCUAUUAAUGAGUUUUUUUUAACUUUCUAUUUAGACUCUCCCUAUCUAGG
rnacentral:misc_RNA from 1 species